GAAAGAACAUUGUUUCAACAAAUGGCUUGAUAGACAAAAAUAAAAAGAUCUAAAUAUUUAGGAUUUUGAUCAAUGAUUUGUAUCUGCAGGAGAUCUAAGAAAGAUCUUUAAGAGAUUUAGUAAGAUCUCUUAAAAUCUGUGUGAUUUAUAGAAGUAAAAUGACAUUACAAAAAAAAAUGUCAAUCUCUUAUCUUUGCAUUUUUGCCUACAGAAUUUCAUCUUUGUAUUUGCAACAAACAAAAAAAAAAGGCAAGGAAGCA
rnacentral:misc_RNA from 1 species